rnacentral:misc_RNA from 1 species
GAUGAAGAACGUAGCGAAAUGCGAUAAGUAAUGUGAAUUGCAGAAUUCAGUGAAUCAUCGAAUCUUUGAACGCACAUUGCGCCCGCUAGUAUUCUGGCGGGCAUGCCUGUUCGAGCGUCAUUUCAACCCUCGAGCCCCUCUGGGCUUGGUGUUGGGGAUCGGCCUCCGCCCCCGGCGGCCGGCCCCGAAAUUCAGUGGCGGCCCCGCCGCAGCGACCUCUGCGUAGUAGCACACACCUCGCACUGGAGCGCGGCGCGGCCACGCCGUAAAGCGGACAACCGUCCAUCUUUCUCAAGGUUGACCUCGGAUCAGGUAGGAAUACCCGCUGAACUUAAGCAUAUCAAUAAGCGGAGGA